GACGAACGCUGGCGGCGUGCUUAACACAUGCAAGUCGAACGGAAAGGCCCUGCUUUUGUGGGGUGCUCGAGUGGCGAACGGGUGAGUAACACGUGAGUAACCUGCCCUUGACUUUGGGAUAACUUCAGGAAACUGGGGCUAAUACCGGAUAGGAGCUCCUGCUGCAUGGUGGGGGUUGGAAAGUUUCGGCGGUUGGGGAUGGACUCGCGGCUUAUCAGCUUGUUGGUGGGGUAGUGGCUUACCAAGGCUUUGACGGGUAGCCGGCCUGAGAGGGUGACCGGCCACAUUGGGACUGAGAUACGGCCCAGACUCCUGCGGGAGGCAGCAGUGGGGAAUAUUGCACGAUGGGCGGAAGCCUGAUGCAGCAACGCCGCGUGCGGGAUGACGGCCUUCGGGUUGUAAACCGCUUUCGCCUGUGACGAAGCGUGAGUGACGGUAAUGGGUAAAGAAGCACCGGCUAACUACGUG
rnacentral:rRNA from 1 species